UGGGGAAUUUUGCACAAUGGGGGAAACCCUGAUGCAGCGACGCCGCGUGAUUUAGAAGGCCUUCGGGUUGUAAAAAUCUUUUCUAUGGGAAGAAAAUGACAGUACCAUAGGAAUAAGGACCGGCUAAUUACGUGCCAGCAGCCGCGGUAAUACGUAAGGUCCGAGCGUUGUCCGGAAUCAUUGGGCGUAAAGGGUACGUAGGCGGGUAAGCAAGUUAGAAGUGAAAUCCUAUAGCUCAACUAUAGUAAGCUUUUAAAACUGCUCAUCUUGAGCUAUGGAAGGGAAAGUGGAAUUCCUAGUGUAGCGGUGAAAUGCGCAGAUAUUAGGAGGAAUACCGGUGGCGAAGGCGACUUUCUGGCCAUAACCUGACGCUGAGGUACAAAAGCGUGGGUAGCAAACAGG
rnacentral:rRNA from 1 species